rnacentral:lncRNA from 1 species
AUUCCUAAUAAACCAAGUGGGGUCGCAAUUUAUGCUCUGGCCCUUGGGUCUGCAGACUUGUCCUUGGCAGUGCCAUUAACCAAUUCUCUCAACUUCAUCUUCGUUACCUUGGCUGGGCGCAUUCUGGGUGAAACGACCACCAGCGCUCGCACGUACACUGGCAUGGCUUUUGUGACCACAGGAGUGACACUAUGCGUGGCUGACAAAGCCUGGAACCAGGGUUGACGUCCAACUUUUUUUUUAUGCUAGAGCAUCGAGAGAGCAGUCACCGGUGAUAGCAGCACGUGUCUAUCAUCCAUGUACACCUAGGAAAGUGAGAUUGUCGAGGAAUUUGUACAGAAAUCGUGACAUUCCAGGCUCAUAGUAGGUCACCUGCUGGUACACCUUGUAUUUAUUUAAGUGCCAAACAGAAGUAUUCAAGUGCUGUAAUAUUGCAUGUAACUUCAUCUUGCGUAGCUCGGGUCCUAAUGUAGUCAGCAAUACGGCGCUGUCUCGUCAACUUGCAGCUAUGUGCAAGCUACGCAGAUUCUAAUUUUUCAUGCUGGCACACGUCAUUUGUUACACAUUGCAUAGAUUCUUCUACACUAGUUCUGGACAGUGCUGCAUGAGGUGUUGCAAGAGUCUGUGUUUGAGUGCAUUGAAGUGUCAACUUUCUUUCUUCACGCUGCACUGAAUUGGUAGUGCAGAAAAACGCGGUCACAUCAACGCCUAAACGUAUGCUCCCACGCACCUUCGUGUUAACUACCUACUACAUGUAGAAGCGUGCAAAGCUUUUUUGUGAUUCUAACUGCCGUAGUUACGUAGUUCAUGGAGGAUAUGAAAAGUGAGCUGCAGUUAGAUAUGGCUAGGUUAAAAAAAAUGCAGUGCGUGAUGAGCAUUUUAUGUAAAUGAAAAA